CCUACGGGCGGCAGCAGUGAGGAAUAUUGGUCAAUGGGCGUAAGCCUGAACCAGCCAAGUCGCGUGAGGGAUGAAGGUUCUAUGGAUCGUAAACCUCUUUUAUAAGGGAAUAAAGGGCGGGACGUGUCUCGUUUUGGAUGUACCUUAUGAAUAAGGAUCGGCUAACUCCGUGCCAGCAGCCGCGGUAAUACGGAGGAUCCGAGCGUUAUCCGGAUUUAUUGGGUGUAACGGGUGCGUAGGCGGCCGUUGAAGUCAGCGGGGAAAGGCUGUGGCCCAACCAUAGAACUGCCGUUGAAACUGGGAGGCUUGAGUAUGUGUGAGGCAGGCGGAAUGCGUGGUGUAGCGGUGAAAUGCUUAGAUAUCACGCAGAACCCCGAUUGCGAAGGCAGCCUGCCAAGCCAUGACUGACGCUGAUGCACGAAAGCGUGGGGAUCAAACAGGAUUAGAUACCCUUGUAGUC
rnacentral:rRNA from 1 species